rnacentral:piRNA from 1 species
UUGGAGAUUAUGAGAGCUUUGAGAUGUGGU